AUACUCUUGUUUCUCUUCAAAACGUACAAAUCUUUCGCCUUUUACUAAAGAUUUCCGUGGAGAGGAACAACAAGAGUUAGUCUCAAUUUUUUGAUGCCCUGUGUAAGUGGGGCU
rnacentral:snRNA from 1 species